GACAGAGGGUGCAAACGUUGCUCGGAAUCACUGGGCGUAAAGGGCGUGUAGGCGGGUAGAUAAGUCGGGCGUGAAAUCCCUAGGCUCAACCUAGGAACUGCACUCGAAACUGUUUAUCUUGAGUGCCGGAGAGGAAAGCGGAAUUCCUGGUGUAGAGGUGAAAUUCGUAGAUAUCGAGAGGAACACCGGUGGCGAAGGCGGCUUCUGGACGGCGACUGACGCUGAGACGCGAAAG
rnacentral:rRNA from 1 species